UUUUUGCCAGCUAAUUAGCAGUUGCCAGUGUCAUUUUUGUGACGUUGCAGCUAGUAAUAUGAGCCCAGUUGCAUAGUCACAAAAGUGAUUAUUGGAAACUGUAACACCUCUGCGGGGGAC
rnacentral:pre_miRNA from 14 species